rnacentral:lncRNA from 1 species
AAACAAAAGCAGGUCACGUAGAAGAUCAUCUUAGUAACACCUUCUACUUUCCUUACUGAUGUGGUAUGAUUAUUGGAAGUGAAAACCUGUCCCUGUACCCUACAUUAUUGCUACCACCUGGCACAACUACCCACGCAUCCUGGGAGGCUGCUGAUUUUGAAGCUAAGAAUAUAAAAAUAUAUGAAAUUCAUGGAUCCAAAGUCCAUCUCUUUCAACUAAAGGUACUUUGGAGACAAAAGUAAUUCAGGAAACCAACAUGAGGGGAGUGGUCUGCGAGAGGAUAGGAUCGGUGAAGAUAAAGUGGUAUUAAUUACAGCCAGUCACAGACUCCAGUUGCCCCAUCGACUUCUAGCUAAGACUCCUUGC